rnacentral:rRNA from 1 species
AGCGAACGCUGGCGGCAGGCCUAACACAUGCAAGUCGAGCGCUCGUAGCAAUACGGGAGCGGCAGACGGGUGAGUAACACGUGGGAACGUACCCUUCGGUUCGGAAUAACCCAGGGAAACUUGGAUUAGUACCGGAUACGUCCGUAAGGAGAAAGAUUUAUCGCCGAAGGAUCGGCCCGCGUCCGAUUAGCUUGUUGGUGGGGUAAUGGCCCACCAAGGCUACGAUCGGUAGCUGGUCUGAGAGGAUGAUCAGCCACACUGGGGCUGAGACACGGCCCAGACUCCUACGGGAGGCAGCAGUGGGGAAUAUUGGACAAUGGGCGCAAGCCUGAUCCAGCCAUGCCGCGUGGGUGAUGAAGGCCCUAGGGUUGUAAAGCCCUUUCGGCGGGGAAGAUAAUGACGGUACCCGCAGAAGAAGCCCCGGCUAACUUCGUGCCAGCCGCCGCGGUAACAC